AACAGCCGGGUGGUCAUCAGCAGAGAUUGGGAAGGUCGCUGUGCUGGAUGAAGAUGAAUGGGAUACAAAACACUAUUCCGCCGUCUCUCAAAUACCCAGGUAUUUUUGGUUGAACCAAAACAACGGGACAAUCCUAAUGACCGAGAGACCUCCGCAGGGAACGUACAACCUCAAUAUUACGGUUUCUGACGGUGUGUGGCCAGAUUCCUUCUCUACUAUCAAAAUUUAUGUACAAGAGAUUGGAAGUGACGCCUUCCGCAGCUCGGUGUCUCUGAGACUCACAAAUCCGAUCGGUUCUGAAGGAAAGGAAUUCCCAAGUAUCCAUUGAUUUCUGUUCACGGAUGGGCUGUUUGCAGGAUGGCGGGUGCGCAAUCCAUAGCGCAGUCAGCAGAUCCCCGCCUCUCGUGGAUGGAGGUAGCGCAUCUAUAGUCUCAAUUCCCCAAGUCGGAAACGUGUCCUGCAGAUGUCUGGUACAGAAACAAUUUUACCAGAACUGUUAUUCUCUGCCCCAAAACCCUUGCCUGAAUGGUGGGACUUGCACGUCGACUCUCACCGGUUACAGGUGUCACUGUUUCACUUCGUUCCUUGGGCCACGCUGCCAGCAGACUCAGAGAACAUUUCACGGUAAUGGCUAUGCAUGGAUUCAUCCUAUCGGCCACUGCUCGGACAGCCAUCUAUCGCUGGAGUCUGUAAGAGACAGCACAGACACAU